CAGGUACCUGGGUUCCUGUGCUAAUAUUGCACCCUGAAUUUUGAGAAAUAUUUAUAAGCACCUAACUUAAAGAGGAAAAUACCUUUGUCCAAGUGAUCAACCGUUCAAUUUAUAUCCCUCUACCUAUCAAUGAUAUAUUAAUCUGUUUGUUAAAAAAAGGCAGAAAAAGACAAAAAAUGGAAAAGUAAAAUGGGCAAGAGAUUUCUUUUUCCUUUGCACUUUCUGGUAUUUCCCAGUUUUUCUAAAACUAGCAUAUACUAUUUUAAAAUUAUAGGUCAAUAAUAAUACAUGAAUAUGCUUUCCUUGUAAGAAAUUAAGACAUUCCAGAUAAAGCUAAAAAGUCCCUGUUGACCUCUAAUCCUGGAUUCCUCCCUAAUACCUAGAGAAAAUGACUGUUAAUUAUUGGUAUGCUUUUUUUUCUAUAUCUUUUUCAAUGCAGAGUUAUUUGUGGUUUAUAUCUAUGGCAUCAUGUGUGUCUUGUCCUAAAACUUUUUUAAGCUCAAUAUUGUAUCUUUCACUAUUUUUUAUCUUGGUAUGUGCAAAGCUACUUCAUCAGCUUAUUCUUUUUACCUGCUUCAGAGUUUUCCAUGAGAAUGGAUAUUCCACAGUUUAUACAGCUUUUCCUCUACGAUGGCCAUUAGGCAUCUUUCUUUUUUUUUUUUUUUUUUGGCAAUUAGUAGUCUUCUUUCAUUGAGAACAAUCGGUAUGUCAUUUAAAAAUUUAAUUCUAGCUUCCUAAACUAAAAAAAGCUCCAGAAAGCUCAUGCCUCAUUCUAAUCUCAGAAAGCACUGUCUAGGCUUGGAGAUCUCCCCAGCUAUCUAAGCAGAAAGAGGAAUGUGGACUUCGGUGAGCCUAAUCCGUACUCUGUGUUCCCCAUCCUUCCCCGACCCCUAGCCCCCAAGGACUGGGAUCAAUACUGGAAACCUGUGCUUUAGUUCUUCCACCUCUGCUGCUGCUAUGCUGUGUGACCUCAGUGAUACAUGUGAGUGACCACCCAGAUGGUGCCUGAGGAAGUGGUCCUUUCCUUGUGGCCCCCAUCAAUAGUCUGCCUCUGGAUUCUGAACAGGGGAAGCUAAAUUGAUGGUCUCUGAGUCACAGUUCCUCAUGAAAAGAGGUGCUUAACAGGAGACACUUGGGGACUGAGGCUUCAGGGACCUCCCCCCACCCAACCACCUCUACUGUUCUGGUGUCCCCGAGGCCUUCAGAAGUUGUUCCUAUUUAUCCCUAUAACUUCUGAAGGCUACGUUGCUAUAGCAACCUGGGUCUGCUGAUCUGUGUUAAAAACUUAUCAAUUAGCUGUCUGGAGAGUCCAUUUAAGGGGUAACAGAGAAGCAAUUACUCCUUAUAGAGGAAGCGCAAACAGUCCCCAUUUCAGAGCCUCUCAGGGAGAGUCUGAGAACGGCAGGUCCAAGUCACUCAUUUUAGGGACAGGGGCACUAAGGGAUGAAAUGAACUGGUUCAUCCCAAGUCACAAAGACAAUUAGAGGCAAGGCAUCCUUUCUGGCUCUGAUUCGGAAGCUCCAUUAUCUCUCUACCUUUGUUCCAGGCUUCUCCUUUCCCCUCCUGUCUAUUCUCCAAGCACCUAUUGCCUCCAAGAUGGGCUCUAGACUGUAAGAGCCUUGUCCUUCACUCUCUCAAUAGCCCCCAGGCCUUUGAAAACAGCCAGGCAGACCCCCUCACCUGCUGCUUACAUGACAUCCUGCGGUGGCCCAUGAAGCCCCAGUGACCUGCUGCCUGGCUGCCUCCCUCCACGGCUCUAACCUCUGUCCCCUUGGCACCAGCUCACUAUAAGGUCCUCCCUAUUCCUUAAGACCAAGCUCCAUCCUCUUCAAAAACAGCACAUCUCUCUCUGACACAGUCACUCUCCCUUUAUCCUGUAAUCCUGUGUAUUCCUUUACAGCUUCCCUCCCCAUCUGCAACCACACUCUGAUUGUUAUGACUUUGCUUGUUCCCCUCUCUGGAAUAAAAAUGGUAAAACUCUGUCUCUUA
rnacentral:sRNA from 1 species